GACGAACGCUGGCGGCGUGCUUAACACAUGCAAGUCGAGCGAUGAAGCACCUUCGGGUGUGAAUUAGCGGCGAACGGGUGAGGAACACGUGAAGAAUCUGCCUUCAACUCUGGGAUAACUCCGGGAAACCGGGGCUAAUACCGGAUAUGAGCCUUGAUCGCAUGAUCGGGGCUGGAAAGUUUUUCGGUUGAAGAUGACUUCGCGGCCUAUCAGCUUGUUGGUGAGGUAAUGGCUCACCAAGGCGACGACGGGUAGCCGGCCUGAGAGGGCGACCGGCCACACUGGGACUGAGACACGGCCCAGACUCCUACGGGAGGCAGCAGUGGGGAAUAUUGGGCAAUGGAGGAAACUCUGACCCAGCGACGCCGCGUGAGGGAUGAAGGCCUUCGGGUUGUAAACCUCUUUCAGUAGGGAAGAAGCGAAAGUGACGGUACCUACAGAAGAAGCACCGGCUGACUAUGUGCCAGCAGCCGCGGUAA
rnacentral:rRNA from 1 species